rnacentral:tRNA from 1 species
GUUCCCGAGUGGCCAAAGGGAACAGACUGUAAAUCUGUCGGCGAAGCCUUCGGAGGUUCGAAUCCUCCCCCCACCACCA